rnacentral:rRNA from 1 species
UACGGAGGGUGCAAGCGUUAAUCGGAAUUACUGGGCGUAAAGCGCACGCAGGUGGCUGAGUAAGUCGAUUGUGAAAGCCCUGGGCUUAACCUGGGAAUUGCAGUCGAAACUACUCGGCUAGAGUAUGGGAGAGGGCAGUGGAAUUCCCGGUGUAGCGGUGAAAUGCGUAGAUAUCUGGAGGAACACCGGUGGCGAAGGCGGCAUCCUGGACCAAUAUUGACGCUGAGGAGCGAAAGCCAGGGGAGCAAACGGG